AACGAACGCUGGCGGCAGGCCUAACACAUGCAAGCGAGCGAGACCUUCGGGUCUAGCGGCGGACGGGUUAGUAACGCGUGGGAACGUGCCCUUCUCUGCGGAAUAGCCACUGGAAACGGUGAGUAAUACCGCAUACGCCCUUCGGGGAAAGAUUUAUCGGAGAAGGAUCGGCCCGCGUUAGAUUAGAUAGUUGGUGGGUAACGGCCUACCAAGUCUACGAUCUAUAGCUGGUUUUAGAGGAUGAUCAGCAACACUGGGACUGAGACACGGCCCAGACUCCUACGGGAGGCAGCAGUGGGGAAUCUUAGACAAUGGGCGCAAGCCUGAUCUAGCCAUGCCGCGUGUGUGAUGAAGGUCUUAGGAUCGUAAAGCACUUUCGCCAGGGAUGAUAAUGACAGUACCUGGUAAAGAAACCCCGGCUAACUCCGUG
rnacentral:rRNA from 1 species